ACUUUAGCCAUGUUUGGAAUAUGAAAUGAUGAGGAAAAAAUGCACCUUUGGCAACAUUCUUGGGUGCAUUUGCAUCAUCUUUCAAGCGUCUAAUCAAGCAUGAAUUACCUAACUGCAGGUACAAGCAGUAAGUUAUUUAUCCAUUUAUCUUAGCUCUUUUUCUCUUUUUAAUUCAUUUUUAU
rnacentral:lncRNA from 1 species